rnacentral:rRNA from 1 species
GACGAACGCUGGCGGCGUGCUUAACACAUGCAAGUCGAACGGAAAGGCCCUGCUUUUGUGGGGUGCUCGAGUGGCGAACGGGUGAGUAACACGUGAGUAACCUGCCCUUGACUUUGGGAUAACUUCAGGAAACUGGGGCUAAUACCGGAUAGGAGCUCCUGCUGCAUGGUGGGGGUUGGAAAGUUUCGGCGGUUGGGGAUGGACUCGCGGCUUAUCAGCUUGUUGGUGGGGUAGUGGCUUACCAAGGCUUUGACGGGUAGCCGGCCUGAGAGGGUGACCGGCCACAUUGGGACUGAGGUACGGCCCAGACUCCUACGGGGGGCAGCGGUGGGGAAUAUUGCACAAUGGGCGGAAGCCGGAUGCAGCAACGCCGCGUGCGGGAUGACGGCCUUCGGGUUGUAAACCGCUUUCGCCUGUGACGAAGCGUGAGUGACGGUAAUGGGUAAAGAAGCACCGGCUAACUACGUG